AUUGAACGCUGGCGGCAUGCCUUACACAUGCAAGUCGAACGGCAGCACGGGAGCAAUCCUGGUGGCGAGUGGCGAACGGGUGAGUAAUAUAUCGGAACGUGCCCGGUCGUGGGGAUAACGUAGCGAAAGCUACGCUAAUACCGCAUACGAUCUACGGAUGAAAGCGGGGGAUCGCAAGACCUCGCGCGAUUGGAGCGGCCGAUAUCAGAUUAGGUAGUUGGUGAGGUAAAGGCUCACCAAGCCGACGAUCUGUAGCUGGUCUGAGAGGACGACCAGCCAUACUGGGACUGAGACACGGCCCAGACUCCUACGGAGGCAGCAGUGGGGAAUUUGGACAAUGGGCGCAAGCCUGAUCCAGCAAUGCCGCGUGCAGGAUG
rnacentral:rRNA from 1 species